CUUUUUAAUUAUUCGACUUUGGACUAUGUGGUCGAUUUUCGACCGUUAGUGAACGUGACAAAUGUCUCGUGGCCGGUUUUAUCGCGAGAUUUAAAAAAAAAAAAAACUAACGUCUUUAUAUUUUUCGCAGGUUCUCAGCUAACCUUGAAAAUUACCCGGAAGAUUGUUGUGAACAUCGGACAUUGGAACCCGUCAAAUUUCCCGCCGUGUAUGUUUAUCGAUCUGGAUCGUAAGUGUUUAAUAUUAAUUACAGAUUGUUUGCCCGCACCGAAAACUCGGUAUGUC